GCCAGAGGAGCUGCUGAUAAAGCUACCCUUGAAAUAACCAGGUACUUAGACAACAAACUACAUCCCUAGGAUUGGAUAGAAUGACACUGCAGAUUUACUUCAUCACUGGUUCGCAAGACCAAAGAAUUCAUCUCCCCUAAGCAUGGAUGGAGAAAAUGGUGGGGGAGGGUUUCUUUACAUUUUAUUAAAUAAACUUUCUAAACUGUA